rnacentral:tRNA from 1 species
GGAGAGAUGGCUGAGUGGCUGAAAGCAGCACACUGCUAAUGUGCUAAGGGAGAAAUCCCUUCCAGGGUUCGAAUCCCUGUCUCUCCG